UCGCAAGUCGAGAUGCCGCAUUCGACAGUCGAACCGAUUCUGCAUUCGCUGUCGGGCCGUAAAAUUUUACGACGUCCUACUCCGUCCUGUCCUCGCAACCCGUCGGACUCACGGCUCGGCCAAGCCAAUGAAAUCCGCUCGUCGCUCGUACAGCUCGUUCGAACGAUCAAUCCUUACCCCGGGGAAAGCAACGGGGAACGGGAUUCGGCCCCUCUCCGCCGUUAUCGUGCACAGCGUACGAUUAACCCUUUCAGCGCUAUGGUUUCGGGAGAAUCGAUCAGUGUAGGUUAUGAACGAGAAUAUAACCUAUAUAUUCAAUUUUGGCUAUGAACUUAUAUAUGGGUUCGUGAACAUCGAGCAGUAUAGGUUAUAAACGAGAAUAUAACCUGUUUAUUCAAUUUUUUUCUAUGAACUUAUAUAUGGAUUCGUGAAAAUCGAGCAAUAUAGGUUAUAAACGAGAAUAUAACCUGUUUAUUCAAUUUUUUUUCUAUGAACUUAUAUAUGGAUUCGUGAAAAUCGAUCAGUAUGGAUUAUGAACGAGAAUAUAACCUAUGUAUUCAAUUUUGACUAUGAACUUAUAUAUGGGUUGGCGAAAAUCGUCAGUAUAGGUUAUGAACAAGAAUAUAAGCUAUGUAUUCAAUUUUUGCUAUGAACUCAUAUAGGUUAGGUCAAGGUUAGGUCAGUAUAGGUUAUGAACAAGAAUAUAAGCUAUGUAUUCAAUUUUUGCUAUGAACUCAUAGAGGUUAGGUCAAGAUUAGGUCAGUAUAGGUUAUGAACAAGAAUAUAAGCUAUGUAUUCAAUUUUUGCUAUGAACUCAUAUAGGUUAGGUCAGUAUAGGUUAUGAAUUUUCGCUAUUUUUGCUAUGAACUCAUAUAGGUUAAGUCAGUAUAGGUUAUGAACAUAUAACUUAUAUAUUCAAUUUCGGCUAUGAACCCAUAUUUGGUUAUAGCCAAUAUAAGUUCACAGCCAUAUUGAUACUAGAUAUUGGUGCUCGACAGGCAAAGUGCCAUUACGUGUCGUGCCUUGCUUUAAGAAAUAUCAUUCUAAAAAAACAGAUUAAACUUCCAAUUUCUUUUCGUCCUCCUCCCCAAGUAUCUGAUUUUUUUGUUCAACAAGAAAAUUGUAAAUACCUAAGUUUUGUAAAUAAUAUUAAUCGAG